GACCCCAUCGUCUAGCUCGGCCCAGGACCCCGGCCCUUCAAGCCGGCGACGCGGGUUCAAAUCCCGCUGGGGUCG
rnacentral:tRNA from 1 species